GCCCUGGUGGUGGAAUUGGUAGACACGCAGGACUUAAAAUCCUGUGAUCAUUGCGGUCGUGCGGGUUCAAGUCCCGCCCGGGGUAC
rnacentral:tRNA from 1 species